ACUCCUACGGAGGCAGCAGUGGGAAUGAUUGGACAAUGGGCGAAAGCCUGAUCCAGCCAUGCCGCGUGUGUGAAGAAGGUCUUCGGAUUGUAAAAGCACUUUAAGUUGGGGAGGAAGGGCAGUAAGUUAAUACCUUGCUGUUUUGACGUUACCGACAGAAUAAGCACCGGCUAACUCUGUGCCAGCAGCCGCGGUAAUACAGAGGGUGCAAGCG
rnacentral:rRNA from 1 species